rnacentral:rRNA from 1 species
GCCGAGGAACCUUACCUGGGCUCGAACGUAAGAUGACUGUAGGUGAAAGCUUACAUCUCUUCGGAGCAUUUUACGAGGUGCUGCAUGGUUGUCGUCAGCUCGUGCCGUGAGGUGUCGGGUUAAGUCCCAUAGCGAGCGCAACCCUACCUUUAGUUGCCAUCAGGUAAUGCUGGGGACUCUAAAGGAACUGCCUACGCAAGUAGUGAGGAAGGCGGGGAUGACGUCAAAUCAGCACGGCCCUUACGUCCAGGGCUACACACGUGCUACAAUGGCCGAUACAGAGGGCAGCUACCUGGUGACAGGAUGCAAAUCUCCAAAGUCGGUCUCAGUUCGGAUCGGAGUCUGCAACCCGACUCCGUGAAGUUGGAUUCGCUAGUAAUCGCGCAUCAGCCAUGGCGCGGUGAAUACGUUCCCGGGCCUU